UGCGGAGGAUGCGAGCGUUAUCCGGAUUUAUUGGGUUUAAAGGGUGCGUAGGCGGCUUUUUAAGUCAGCGGUGAAAUUUUGCAGCUUAACUGUAACAGUGCCGUUGAUACUGGGGAGCUAGGAUUUGGUUGCUGUGGGUGGAAUGUGUGGUGUAGCGGUGAAAUGCUUAGAGAUCACACAGAAUAUCGAUUGCGAAGGCAGCUCACAAAGCCAAGAUUGACGCUGAGGCACGAAAGUGUGGGGAUCAAACAGGA
rnacentral:rRNA from 1 species